UCAUCUCCCACUGUGACGGUUUCUUCAGUGAGAAUUCCCUGCUGUCCCUUCCUCCCAUCCCUGAAGCUUCCAGCCUGCGUUACAGAGGCCUAGGUGUUAGAGUCUAUGCAAAUUUGUGCAAUCAACACUGAAGUCAACUCUGAGAUACUUUAGGUAGCUCAAAGAACACCAGCAUCCCUUACGAUUACCGUCCAAUCUCCCCAGCUGCUGACAACUACUAAUCUACUUUCUUUCUGGUUUUUCCUGUUCUAGACAUUACGGAUUAUGUCAUAUUUCAUGAACUCGAGGACAUCCUGUCUACUGGAGUGUCUUGGUCAUUUUCUGUCAUCUCCACGAAUCCAUUGCUGCAUGGAGACCUGCAUUCUAGGUCUUCAUGAAUCAUCUAUGUAUUCUGUGAGGACAACACAACAAACUGAAUUUCCAUAAAGCAACUCUACAACCGAAUGCCUUCCAAACCCAAACUGACCUCAACUCACCCCUUCUACCUAGAGCGCAAUCUGAAGUGUCAUCUACCAUUUCAUGUUCUCUGAUUGAUGAACAUUUCGACAAUAUACCCGAAGAAGAUAGGUGAAGUACAGCAAUACAUCUUUUUGUUUUAUAAAUAUAUGAUUUAUAAGCCAUCUUUUCCCCCAUGUGAACGUGGAGAAUGGCUAAAACAAACUUUUAUUCUAUGUUAGCAUGCACUAGUUAGACAUUUCCCUUUCCUGUUCUUUCUGAAAGACGGGCAAAGUCCCGAAGUGUCUGUGCACACACACUUCAUUUGCUCUAGCAUUAGCCUAGGUCCCAGGUUAAGUGUAGUAAAUUGCUUCCCCAAGGUAGAGCCUGGCUUUUAGAACAGGAAGUCAAUAUUGCUCAGCUGGUGAUUCAUAUGCAAACGAACCCUCAUGGAACAUUUUAGUUCGAAAAAAUAAAUAAUUAGCAGACUGGAAUGCAUCUAGGAUCCUAGAAUCACUUACCAUAUCCAUGCUUUAAAAAAAAAAAAAAAAAAAGGCAAGCGAGUUUUAUUGACAUCAAGAGUAGCCAAGCUUUUGGUUUCACUUCCCUGAUACUUUGGAGCCCUCCAUGGGCACUGGGGAUGUGACUUACAGCACAUACCUGGGCACUUGGUCAUUCUGUGUCCACUCUAUCAGUAUUUGUGCCAAUGUACAGAUAAGUACCAGCAGAAAUUCCUGGUGAGUCCUCUCUAAGUUCUGACAGAUCCUUGUUUUUCUUGUUUGAAAGAGGAGAUAAGAAUACAGGGAGGGCUGGCCACUGAUAAGACAGAAGUCCGGAGGAAGGGUGCAAACCCAAAAUUUGAAAUAUUAUAGUAAGUUAAAAAAUAUCUGUUAUUACUCAACAGGUUAUCAUCCUCAUCAACAUGCGGGGUUCCGAAUGCUUCCAGUAAUCUCUAACUGUGGAAUGUGGGAAUGGGAACAUCAUGUCUUGGUGGUGCCUUGGCUUCACAAUUUUACCUUUUUCACAAGUCGCCUUUAAAAUCCAUUUCUUUUCCUGUUAGAUUUAUUUUCCAAUACAGCAAUACAGCAAUUUCCCCAAAUGAAUCACCAUGUAGGGAUCAGCAACUUAACACAGUCAUGCCCUGCUUUAAAAGACACCAGGGACAGGAAGCACUCUUAAAAUGCAGAGGGGCAUGGUUAACCUCAGCUACCCCACAUGUGGCUGACACUUACUCACAUCCUGAGUCAGUACCAUCCACAGGUGAAGGAUACCUGCACUGGUGGCCAGAGCUCCAACUUGAACUGUGUCCUUUUGCUUUUGGUUUAUGAAAGCUUAUGCUGUGACAUUUUUAAGUCUUUUCUGGGAUGGGCUUGGGAGCAGACAUGUGAUGGUUUAAGGGGUUAGUAGGGAGAUUCGGAAAAGGUAGGAGGCACUAAUGGCUCAUUUGCUUCUUUUAAAAAACACCCCCAGGGUGUGCCCGAUGAACUCAGAGAAUAUUACGAAAUUCUGGUAAGAAAUUAAUUUUAAGUUUCUCUUAAAAAAUGCACAGUGCCAUUUUGUAUGCAAUGGACAGGAGGGAGAAUUCAAAUAAGUCAGGAAGCAGCAGCUUGCUGAGUCUGGAAGAGAAUAGAGCCAAGAGCUACGGAAAAGAAUCAAGUGAAAAAUUAGUACAGUUUCAGUUCAACCUUUU